GAUGAAGAACGCAGCGAAAUGCGAUACGUAGUGUGAAUUGCAGAAUUCAGUGAAUCAUCGAAUCUUUGAACGCACAUUGCGCCCGCCAGUAUUCUGGCGGGCAUGCCUGUCUGAGCGUCAUUUCAACCCUCAUGCCCCUAGGGCGUGGUGUUGGGGAUCGGCCAAAGCCCGCGAGGGACGGCCGGCCCCUAAAUCUAGUGGCGGACCCGUCGUGGCCUCCUCUGCGAAGUAGUGAUAUUCCGCAUCGGAGAGCGACGAGCCCCUGCCGUUAAACCCCCAACUUUCCAAGGUUGACCUCAGAUCAGGUAGGAAUACCCGCUGAACUUAAGCAUAUCAAUAAGCGGAGGA
rnacentral:misc_RNA from 1 species